GCGACGAUAGCUCAGUGUUAGAGCACUCCCGUUUGAGGGAGAGGCCGGAGGUUUGAUUCCUUCUCGUCGCUCCA
rnacentral:tRNA from 1 species